rnacentral:rRNA from 1 species
UACGGAGGAUGCAAGCGUUAUCCGGAAUUAUUGGGCGUAAAGCGUCCGCAGGUGGCUUUUCAAGUCUGCUGUCAAAGACCAGAGCUCAACUCUGGGCAGGCGGUGGAAACUGGGAAGCUAGAGUACGGUAGGGGUAGAGGGAAUUUCCAGUGUAGCGGUGAAAUGCGUAGAGAUUGGAAAGAACACCAGUGGCGAAGGCGCUCUACUGGACCGAAACUGACACUCAGGGACGAAAGCUAGGGGAGCGAAAGGG